AUGUCCAGGGCUCAAGCGGCCAUCCCCGAUUUGCGGCAUCAGCACCCGGCCCAGCCGCGGUUUAGAGACCGGGUUCACAAUGAUCAAUGGAGCUAUGGAAACAGCAGACAUCGCGCCGGAGCCUGCUGGCCUCCCAUCUGGAGCCUCACAGGCACUGAAGAGUUUCCAGAGCCCGUGGUGCUGCAAGUGGAAAUGUCAGCGUGGGAUAAUUACAUUAGCCCGGAUGCCCUCGUUUCUGACUACCCUUUAUCCACAAUCGAUUACUGAAGAAGACAAAGGGCGUGAAUAAUCAGCCAAGCAGAUGGAGGGUCAGGUGGCCAGGCCAGAAGAGAAAGUGGGUAAGAGGGAAGAAAGGCCUCUGGCCCAGAGAGGGUCUGUGCGGGGGUGGGGGUGGGGUGGGGGGGGUGGAAGGGACUGGGACGAAACAGGCUGCAGGGAAAGGUGGAGGGCUCCUACCUGGCCUCAGCAGGCUAGGUGUAUACAGAGGCACCAAAUAAUCGCUGGACUUGUCCUUGAACGUGUGCUGACAGCCUUGGGAAGCUCUCUCUAGGAAAUGAGGAAGGAGGUAGUAAGAAAG
rnacentral:lncRNA from 1 species